rnacentral:lncRNA from 1 species
AGGUUUAAGUUCUUUUGCCAGCAUUCAGUUGAUGUCCUGUGUGAGUCAUUUUACAUGUACGUGUGUUUUUUUGAUGUGUUUGUGAGAGAAGGUAAGUGUGACCUCUUACUCCUCUGCCAUCUUGCUCCACCACCCCAAACUGUACAUUUUAAAUACGUCCAUUUAUUACAUGUUAAUUAUGUCUCAAGCUUAAAAAAACUAAGAUAUUUAGAUAGAAUUACACACACCUCAUGACAGUAGUGAAUGAAUAGGGUAAAGAGAAUAGGCUUACAAUGAAUCCAUUUAGAUUGAGUCUGGCCUCUUCAAAGUUAGUUUAACAAAAAUACCAAUUUUAGACAGCUAGAAUUUCUUUCAAAGCUCUAAUAAUGAAGUAAGGAUACUUGAUUUUUUUUUUCUGUUGUUCUUUUAUAUUACUUUGUCUUAGAAGUCUCUCAGGCCUGGCACUGCUUAUGUUGUUUGGAUUUAAAUAAUGUUUUUAGGGAAAUUCAAUACUAUUUUACCAAUGGGAUAAUUAACACGAGUUUCCUAAUAUUUUAGGAUAACAAAAAAGUUUAAGUAUUUGUCUUGAUGAAACAACUUCUAUACUGCGGCCUUAGAACAAAUAUUCCUUCUUAGAUAUCUGCAUGAAGAAGAAAAUAAGUUCUAAUGUCUGAAAUUUGUCCCACUAAGACUAUACACCAUUCCUAUAGGUUCCUCAUGAUAAGCAUCCAUAAAUUUUCUAGCAACAUUUUUAUCAUUUUCUAUCAAGAAUCUAAGUAUCAUUGAGAUUAUCUGUGAUUUUUACCAUACUUUGUAAAACUUAAGCUGAAAAAGGAUAUAUUUGCAUACACUUAGUACACAGUAAAUCAUGAAAAAUGGCUUUACACUCAUCUAUGCCUGUAAUUUAUGCUAGAAAGUUCUUUCAGUAUGAUCAUCAACCAUUUUUAUUGAGCAUGCAACCUGUCAAAAUUGUUUCAGUAGGCAUGAUUAUAGAAACAAAUAGUUGGAACAACAGCAUUCAUUUAUGCAACACAUAUUCACUUGAGUUUCCCAUGGGGACCAGGGCUUUCACUAGGGUACAGGGGUGUAAGGGUCAACAAAAAAGCCAUGACCCUGGACUUCAUGGUGUUAACACUGCGAUGGGAGGAUACAGACUAAAUAAUAAUUUUUGUACUAGUAUAUUUCAUUUGAGAAUAAAAUUACUUAAAAGAAUCUCUUGAUAAAGAGACAGGAUUUAUAUUUUAGUUAUACAGUAAAAACACAAAUAUCUCUUACAUACUAAUUUAAUCAAUGUAUAUUUAACAAGGUUAAAAUAUAUGUGUACAGUUAAUUUAUAGCUUUUGGAAGUAUACAUAAAAUAUUCAAAAAUAAGCUUUCUGAGAAAAUUUAAUUCUAGCACUCUUUAGACUCUUAUGUAAACAAAUAAUUCUUGAAGACUUCCAGCAAACAGUGAACUAGGUAAUUCUUACCAACUCUCCUACUGAGCACUUCCAGAAAAACAGAACAAGUGAUAAAAGCAUCUGAAGGAAUCUGAGCUCUCUCAAGAUAGGGAACUAUGACUGAGUCAGGAUUUAGAAAAGAGAAGAGUCAGGAACUUGGUGGCAUUAUUCCUUUGCAGGGACUUGCUGAUUCCUGAGAGGGCUAUGAGAGGGAGUGUUGGCAGUCUCUCUUGGCAAGAGCAUAGGGAUGACAUUCAGGGGUCACCAAGAAGAGUUCCCUGCUGAACAUCCCCCAUCCUUUGGAUCAAGACCUCAAAGAAUCGCACAAUACACCUUCCACCCUUCAAGGAUAAACGUUUACCAGAAGUAGAAAAACCCUCCCAGGAAUAGCAACUUAUUUUCCAGUCAUCUCCACUUCUGAAAAUGGGUAAGUAUGAUCCAGGAUUGCCAGUGCCCAGAAAACUAAUAGAAGCAAAUAUGAAUCCUCUAUAAAGGAUGAUAAAAUCAUCCUAGACUCUAACUUAAGUCUAUUUUUCAGAUACAAUAACUGACACAUAUUUUUAAAAAGCAACCAUAUAUGAGGUAUAAUGAAUGAUACAAGUCAUCAGACAUUUAUCCAAAACCAUAGUAUGUACAACACCAAGAGUGAGCUACAAUGUAAACUAUGGGCUUUAGGUGAUAAUAAUGUGUCACUGCAGAUUUAUCAGUUAUAACAAAUGUCCCACUCUAGUGGGGGGAUGUUGGUAAUGGUGGAUGUUGAUAAUACAUGUUUAGGAGCAGGUGGUCUAUGGGGAAUAUAUCUAUUCCUUCUCAAUUUUUCUCUGAACCUAAAACUGCCCUACAAAAGCAAAGUCUUAAUAAAAACUCAAAACCAAUUAAGAAGGCAAACAUGAAUUAAUAGAAAAGGUAGAAAGCAAAAAUAUACUCACAGGUACUCUAGAUAUUAAAGUUACAUACACUUAAAAAUAAUUCAAGAAAUAAGAUUAAGAAUUUUGGCAAAGGAACAGAAGCUAUAAAAGAAAGGACAAAGUAGACUUCAAAAGAACCAAACUGAAAUACUAGAACUGAAAAUUACAGUUAUAGUUACCUAAAUUAAGAAUUCAAAGGAUAUAUUUAACAGUAGAUUAUACACAAUGGAAAUAAAAAUUAGUAAACUAAAAGCUAAGGCAGAAGAAUAUACCCAGAAUGAAGCAAUUUAUUUUCCCCAGUUACUUGUUUGUAGUCUACUUCCUCCCACCAUAGUGUAAACUCCUCGAGUCCUAGGAUCAUGUCUUACUCACUGUGGCUUAGCUGGUGCCUAGGGGAAUUCUUAGCACAUAGUGGAUAUUCAUUAAAUAAUUGUUGAUAAAAAUAUAUGGUUAGGAAAAUUCACUUCUAUAAUAACUGUCUAAGGCAAUACUUUUAACAAAGUGUAUGCUGACUAAACACAGUUGACUAUACUAAAAUAAUUUUGUAAAAUGACUUCUAAGUAGUGAAGAAAGGGGGAUAUAGGAAAUAAAAGGUAUUCGAUUUGGGCAGGGAGGAAGAGAGAUGGAGAGACCAGUGUUUUUGUUCAAACAUAACAUCACUGUGAAUGUAUAAUAGCCAACAUGAUCUAUAUACAAAUUAUUAAAAACAGCAAGUGGAUGUAGAAAUGUUGCUGGAUUUAAGGUCAAGUCAUGCACAAAUUCAAAUACACAUACCUACAGUAGAAAUAAACUAGGAAACAAAAUUUUAAAAGAGACAACAUUUAUAAUAGCAUCAAAAUGUGAAACACCUGCAAAAAUAUGAAAAUACAAUAUGUAGGCUACCCAACAGAAAGUAUUAAAAUGGAAAUAAAUCAUAUAACUUCUUGAAAGAAUGUAUUGAAAGUAAAUAUGCUACUUAUAUUGUGACUUUAAAUAAAGCUAUAACAUUUAAGAGAGGAAGUUUUGAUACAAGGAUAGACAAAGACAGUCAAGUAGGCUGUUGACAUUGCAUGGAAAUCCCAGGGAACUUUGUAUACAUGAAUGCUUGACUAAUCACAAAGUAGAAGUGACAGGAAACAACAGUCACUUUAGUAAAUGGUUCUGGGACAAUCAGAAAUGCAUAUGGAAAAAAAGGGAAAUUGAAUCCUAUUUCACACCAUUCAUAAAAUCAAUUCCUCAUUAGAUUAUAGAUAAUGUGAAGGUAAGUGAAUACCUCUUUUAGGAUUGGGUUUCUUAAACAGAAGCAUUUUUGGCAUUUGGACCAGAUAAUUCUUUGUUUGGGAAGCUGUCUUGUGCAUUAUGCUGUGUCUGGCAGCAUCCCUGUCUUCUCCACACUGUAUGCCAAUAGCACGCCCUCAAUUGUGACAACCAAAAAUGUCUUUAGACAUUGACAAAUGUCCGUUGGUGCAAAAUUGCCUUCAGUUAAGAACUAAUAGUCUAGGAAGUAAUGUCAAAGAAUACGUAUUAUUUGGGAUAAAGAACAACUUCUUAAAUAGGACACAAAAUGUUCUAACUGAAAGUAAAAACUUUUCGAUUUGACUACUUUAAAAUAUAAGAAAUUCUGUUCAUUGAAAACAUCAUCAGGAGAGUGAGUAAGCAAACCACAGAGACAGAGAAAGUAGUAGCUGUCUAAAUGGCAAGGGGCUCAUAAUCAGAUUUUAUGAAGAACUCAAAGAGAAAAUGACAAAAACAAUAGAAAAAUGAUCAAGACUUCACAAAAUGAAGAUAUCCAAAUGACCAAGAAAGAUAUGGAAAAGUGUUCAGAAUCACCAGCAAUGGGGAAAACGCAAAUAAAUCAAAAGAAAUAAUGGCCAUCAGCAAAAUAUUUACAAACAAUAUAUGCUGGAGAGGAUAUGGAGAAAAGGGAACCCUCUUACACUGUUGGUGGGAAUGUAAAUUGGUAUAGCCAGUAUGGAAAACAGCAUGGAGGUUCCUUAAAAAAACUAAAUAUAGAGUUACCAUAUAAUCCAGCAACCCCACUCCUGGGUAUAUUUCCAGAGAAAACUCUAAUUUGAAAAUAUACUACACUCCAGUGUUCACGGCAGAAUUAUUUACAAUAGUCAAGUCAUGGAAGCAAUCUAAAUGUCCAUAGACAGAUGAAUGGAUAAAAAGAUGUGGUAUACACCUGCCCCCAACACACACACAAUGGAUAUUAUUCAGCUAUCAAACAGAAUGAAAUAAUGUCAUUUACAGGGAAAUAGAUGGACCCAGAGAUUAUCAUACUAAGUUAGACAUCAUAUAAUAUCACUUACACAUGGAUUCUAAAAACAUGAUACAAUGUUUAUAAAACAGAAAUAAACUCACAGACAUAGAAAACAUACUUACAGUUACCAAGGGGGAAGGGAGAAGGAGGGGUAAAUUAGGAGUUUCAGAUUAACAAAUACACACUAUUAUAUAAAAAUAGAUAAACAACAAGAAUCUACUGUAUGGUACAGGGAACUCUACUCAAUAAAUACUUUAUAAUAACCUAUGAUGGAACAUACUCUAAAAAAGAAUACAUAUGUAUAUGUAUAAAAUGAAAUAACUUUGUUGUACACUGAAAUUAACACAAUGUUGUAAAUCAACUAUAUUUAAGUUAAAAAGAAAGUGCUCAGCUGUGCUCUUGUACCACAAAAACAGCCACAGAAAAUAAAUGGGCAUUGAUCUGUGUUCUAAAAAAACCUUAUUUUAAAUA